rnacentral:rRNA from 1 species
GACGAACGCUGGCGGCGUGCUUAACACAUGCAAGUCGAACGGAAAGGCCCUGCUUGCAGGGUACUCGAGUGGCGAACGGGUGAGUAACACGUGGGUGAUCUGCCCUGCACUUCGGGAUAAGCUUGGGAAACUGGGUCUAAUACCGGAUAGGAGCCAUCUUUAGUGUGGUGGUUGGAAAGUUUUUUCGGUGUAGGAUGAGCUCGCGGCCUAUCAGCUUGUUGGUGGGGUAAUGGCCUACCAAGGCGGCGACGGGUAGCCGGCCUGAGAGGGUGUACGGCCACAUUGGGACUGAGAGACGGCCCAGACUCCGACGGGAGGCAGCAGUGGGGAAUAUUGCACAAUGGGCGCAAGCCUGAUGCAGCGACGCCGCGUGGGGGAUGAAGGCCUUCGGGUUGUAAACUCCUUUCGCUAGGGACGAAGCGUUUUUGUGACGGUACCUAGAUAAGAAGCACCGGCUAACUACGUG